rnacentral:rRNA from 1 species
GAGUUUGAUCCUGGCUCAGGAUGAACGCUGGCGGCGUGCUUAACACAUGCAAGUCGAGCGAAGCGCUUACGACAGAACCUUCGGGGGAAGAUGUAAGGGACUGAGCGGCGGACGGGUGAGUAACGCGUGGGUAACCUGCCUUGUACAGGGGGAUAACAGUUGGAAACGGCUGCUAAUACCGCAUAAGCGCACAGCAUCGCAUGAUGCAGUGUGAAGAACUCCGGUGGUAUAAGAUGGACCCGCGUUGGAUUAGCUAGUUGGUGAGGUAACGGCCCACCAAGGCGACGAUCCAUAGCCGACCUGAGAGGGUGACCGGCCACAUUGGGACUGAGACACGGCCCAAACUCCUACGGGAGGCAGCAGUGGGGAAUAUUGCACAAUGGGCGAAAGCCUGAUGCAGCGACGCCGCGUGAGCGAAGAAGUAUUUCGGUAUGUAAAGCUCUAUCAGCAGGGAAGAUAAUGACGGUACCUGACUAAGAAGCACCGGCUAAAUACGUGCCAGCCGCCGCGGUAAUUC